UUGAACGCUGGCGGCAGGCCUAACACAUGCAAGUCGAGCGGAUGAAGGGAGCUUGCUCCUGGAUUCAGCGGCGGACGGGUGAGUAAUGCCUAGGAAUCUGCCUGGUAGUGGGGGAUAACGUCCGGAAACGGGCGCUAAUACCGCAUACGUCCUGAGGGAGAAAGUGGGGGAUCUUCGGACCUCACGCUAUCGGAUGAGCCUAGGUCGGAUUAGCUAGUUGGUGGGGUAAAGGCCUACCAAGGCGACGAUCCGUAACUGGUCUGAGAGGAUGAUCAGUCACACUGGAACUGAGACACGGUCCAGACUCCUACGGGAGGCAGCAGUGGGGAAUAUUGGACAAUGGGCGAAAGCCUGAUCCAGCCAUGCCGCGUGUGUGAAGAAGGUCUUCGGAUUGUAAAGCACUUUAAGUUGGGAGGAAGGGCAGUAAGUUAAUACCUUGCUGUUUUGACGUUACCAACAGAAUAAGCACCGGCUAACUUCGU
rnacentral:rRNA from 1 species